rnacentral:rRNA from 1 species
UACGUAGGGUGCGAGCGUUGUCCGGAAUUACUGGGCGUAAAGAGCUCGUAGGUGGCUUGUUGCGUCUGCCGUGAAAGCCCGUGGCUUAACUACGGGUCUGCGGUGGAUACGGGCAGGCUAGAGGCUGGUAGGGGCAAGCGGAAUUCCUGGUGUAGCGGUGAAAUGCGCAGAUAUCAGGAGGAACACCGGUGGCGAAGGCGGGUUCUCUGGGGCAUGUCCUGACGCUGAGGAGCG